UGGGGAAUAUUGGACAAUGGGCGCAAGCCUGAUCCAGCCAUGCCGCGUGAGUGAUGAAGGCCCUAGGGUUGUAAAGCUCUUUCACCGGUGAAGAUAAUGACGGUAACCGGAGAAGAAGCCCCGGCUAACUUCGUGCCAGCAGCCGCGGUAAUACGAAGGGGGCUAGCGUUGUUCGGAUUUACUGGGCGUAAAGCGCACGUAGGCGGACUUUUAAGUCAGGGGUGAAAUCCCGGGGCUCAACCCCGGAACUGCCUUUGAUACUGGAAGUCUUGAGUAUGGUAGAGGUGAGUGGAAUUCCGAGUGUAGAGGUGAAAUUCGUAGAUAUUCGGAGGAACACCAGUGGCGAAGGCGGCUCACUGGACCAUUACUGACGCUGAGGUGCGAAAAGCGUGGGGAGCAAAACAGGAUUAGAUACCCUGGUAGUCCACGCCGUAAACGAUGAAUGUUAGCCGUUGGGGAGUUUAACUCUUCGGUGGCGCAGCUAACGCAUUAAACAUUCCGCCUGGGGAGUACGGUCGCAAGAUUAAAAACUCAAAUGAAUUG
rnacentral:rRNA from 1 species